rnacentral:rRNA from 1 species
AGCGGCAGGCUUAACACAUGCAAGUCGAGGGGUAACAGAGAGUGCUUGCACUCUGCUGACGACCGGCGCACGGGUGAGUAACGCGUAUGCAACCUACCUUUUACAGGGGAAUAGCCCAGAGAAAUUUGGAUUAAUACCCCAUAUUAUCUUUUUUUCGCAUGAAAUAAGGAUGAAAGUUUCGACGGUAAAAGAUGGGCAUGCGUCCUAUUAGUUUGUUGGUAAGGUAAUGGCUUACCAAGACUUCGAUAGGUAGGGGCCCUGAGAGGGGGACCCCCCACACUGGUACUGAGACACGGACCAGACUCCUACGGGAGGCAGCAGUGAGGAAUAUUGGACAAUGGAGGAAACUCUGAUCCAGCCAUGCCGCGUGCAGGAUGAAUGCCCUAUGGGUUGUAAACUGCUUUUGUACAGGAAGAAACAUUUCCACGUGUGGGAACUUGACGGUACUGUAAGAAUAAGGAUCGGCUAACUCCGUGCCAGCAGCCGCGGUAAUACGGAGGAUCCAAGCGUUAUCCGGAAUUAUUGGGUUUAAAGGGUCCGUAGGUGGUUAUUUAAGUCAGAGGUGAAAUCCUGCCGCUUAACGGUAGAACUGCCUUUGAUACUGAUUAACUUGAGUUAUUGUGAAGUAGUUAGAAUAUGUAGUGUAGCGGUGAAAUGCAUAGAUAUUACAUAGAAUACCGAUUGCGAAGGCAGAUUACUAACAAUAUACUGACACUGAGGGACGAAAGCGUGGGUAGCGAACAGGAUUAGAUACCCUGGUAGUCCACGCCGUAAACGAUGGUCACUAGCUGUUUGAUUAACAUUGGUUAAUUAAGUGGCUAAGCGAAAGUGAUAAGUGACCCACCUGGGGAGUACGCUC